GGGAAAGUUUUGAUGUGGGGAGAUUAAUCCUUACGGGUGUUUUCCAAUCAGUGCUUCCAUUUGGCUCUUAUGGCUAUUGCCAGACCUAACACCCACAAAUUGAUGUCAUUGUUUAUUUUAAAAAGCCAUCCACUUGCCAUCACUAGAUUUUAUGGUGGUAUGUUCCAUAAGUUAAUCGGCCAGUGGCUGGGGAUGGUGGAAUGUGGAGCCCAACCACUUGGGGGGGGGGGAGUCCUGGUUUCCCACCACUGCUAUAAAGCAUCACACAUAUCAAUAGACCUAUAAAGAUGAGAUCACUGUUCUCUCGUAUGGCAAAGCACUGCUAGGGAGCCACCUAGUGGCCAGAAGUGAAAUAGAGCUUUGUCUAAAAAGCAAGGUUUCCCCCCAAUCCGAGGGACUGGACCUUUGUCACGUGGCAGUGAUAAUCUUACUUGAACAGAUGCAGUGCAGUCCCCUCACUUCUCAGGACAUGCUGUGGGACAGCUGGCUUCAGGCACCAGGCCCCUUGGCAGACCAACACCAUGUUACAAAGAUGUUCUGGAAGCUGGCAGCAUCAACCCCACCAUGUGGGAAUCCCUUGCACAUGACUGCAGUGCCUGGAGACAAACAGGCAUCUAUAACAUCUAUUUCAGUGACCAGAGGACGGAUGACCGCUGGGAGGAGCACAGAGAGAAAAAAUGCCAUGGUGCAUCUGCAGUGGCUCAACUGGAUGCCUUCCUCUGCCCCAGCUGCAACAAAACAUGUCUCUCCCACAUCGGUCUCUACAGCCACAGCAGAUCUUGUAACCUUCCAGCAGUUUGACUUUACCCCCAGAGGUGCACUCCUCCAUUGUCUCCUGAAACAGAGAGAUGCUAACCAUUCCUAUUAGCUGUUUUGGGCAAUUUUAACAGAAAGGUGGGAUAUAAAACAAAGGAACAAACCAAAUCAAAUAUCUUUAAUACGGUCAAUGACCAGCAAGCAAUUUAUGAAAUAAAAUAUGACAUUAUAAGUAAUAUUGUGCUACAGGUAACAGUGGAAAUAUGGCCAAAUCACAGAAUUGGUGCUUAUGUUUAUGACCAGGUUUCGACUUUUAAGGUUUUAAGGAUUCAAUUCAAAUGUCACUACUGUUUAUUAUCGUUCCUUCGAUGUUUACAAUUUGGACUCCAUUGCUGACAUCAUUGCUCGUCUUAUUCUUGUUGCAAUGUAGCAGUACUUUGCCACUGGCCUGUUGAUUUCGGGCUCUUUGUCAGCUAAGAGGUGUCUGAUAUAGGUGUCGUCUGUACUACGAGGUAUUUUCCUCAGAAUCGGCUCGAUCAGUUCUUUUCUUGAGUCUCGAUAUAAUAGGCAAUAUAAUAUGACAUGCCCGAUGGUUUCGAUUUCGUUGUUGUUACAGGGACAUAAUCUUUGUUCGAUCGGUAUUUUGUUAUAUCUUCCCUCUAGAAGAGCUGAAGGGAGAGCAUUAAAGCGGGCCCUGGAAAAUGCCCAUCGGUGUUUAGCGUUCUGUAGAACUUUGAGAUAGUUUGCUAGAUGGGGCCUUUGGGAAUUGAAUAGGAGUUUAUGAUUAAAGGAAGUUGAU
ensembl:lncRNA